rnacentral:rRNA from 1 species
AAGGAUCAUUAAAGAAUCGCCCCGUUUUUUGAAAUGGGUUCUAUUCCCAAACCGUGUAUACAUACCUUUGUUGCUUUGGCAGGCCGCCUUUUAGGCGUUGGCUCCGGCUGACUGCGCCUGCCAGAGAACCCAAACUCUUUAGUUUAGUGAUGUCUGAGUACUAUAUAAUAGUUAAAACUUUCAACAACGGAUCUCUUGGUUCUGGCAUCGAUGAAGAACGCAGCGAAAUGCGAUAAGUAAUGUGAAUUGCAGAAUUCAGUGAAUCAUCGAAUCUUUGAACGCACAUUGCGCCCCUUGGUAUUCCGAGGGGCAUGCCUGUUCGAGCGUCAUUAUAACCACUCAAGCCUCGGCUUGGUCUUGGGGUUCGCGGUCUCGCGGCCCUUAAAAUCAGUGGCGGUGCCGUCUGGCUCUAAGCGUAGUAAUUUUCUCGCUAUAGGGUCCAGGCGACCACCUGCCAUAACCCCCCAUUCUUUACGGUUGACCUCGGAUCAGGUAGGGAUACCCGCUGAACUUAA